UACGUAGGUGGCAAGCGUUGUCCGGAUUUACUGGGCGUAAAGAGCGCGCAGGCGGUCGUGCAAGUCGCGUGUGAAAGCCCCCGGCUCAACUGGGGAGGGUCACGCGAUACUGCUCGACUCGAAGGCAGGAGAGGGAAGUGGAAUUCCCGGUGUAGUGGUGAAAUGCGUAGAUAUCUGGAGGAAUACCGGUGGCGAAGGCGGCAUCCUGGACCGACAUUGACGCUGAACGGCGAAAGCUAGGGGAGCAAACGGG
rnacentral:rRNA from 1 species